rnacentral:rRNA from 1 species
UACGUAGGGGGCAAGCGUUGUCCGGAUUUAUUGGGCGUAAAGAGCUCGUAGGCGGUUCGGUAAGUCGGAUGUGAAAUCUCCAGGCUCAACCUGGAGGGGUCAUUCGAUACUGCCGUGACUAGAGGUCGGUAGGGGAGUGUGGAAUUCCUGGUGGAGCGGUGAAAUGCGCAGAUAUCAUGAGGAAUACCAGUGGCGAAGGCGACUUACUGGACACAUAUUGACGCUGAGGUGCGAAAGCGUGGGGAGCAAACAGG